rnacentral:rRNA from 1 species
AUUGAACGCUGGCGGCAUGCCUUACACAUGCAAGUCGAACGGCAGCACGGGUGCUUGCACCUGGUGGCGAGUGGCGAACGGGUGAGUAAUACAUCGGCACAUGUCCUGUAGUGGGGGAUAGCCCGGCGAAAGCCGGAUUAAUACCGCAUACGAUCUACGGAUGAAAGCGGGGGACCUUCGGGCCUCGCGCUAUCGGGUUGGCCGAUGGCUGAUUAGCUAGUUGGUGGGGUAAAGGCCUACCAAGGCGACGAUCAGUAGCUGGUCUGAGAGGACGACCAGCCACACUGGGACUGAGACACGGCCCAGACUCCUACGGGAGGCAGCAGUGGGGAAUUUUGGACAAUGGGCGAAAGCCUGAUCCAGCAAUGCCGCGUGUGUGAAGAAGGCCUUCGGGUUGUAAAGCACUUUUGUCCGGAAAGAAAUCCUUGGCCCUAAUACGGUCGGGGGAUGACGGUACCGGAAGAAUAAGCACCGGCUAACUACGUG